rnacentral:rRNA from 1 species
GAUGAACGCUAGCUACAGGCUUAACACAUGCAAGUCGAGGGGCAUCACAGUGUAGCAAUACACGGGUGGCGACCGGCGCACGGGUGCGUAACACGUAUCCAAUCUGCCCGUUACUCGGGGAUAGCCUUCUGAAAGGAAGAUUAAUACCCGAUGGCAUGUAUUUCCGGCAUCGGAGAUACAUUAAAGAUUUAUCGGGUAACGGAUGAGGAUGCGUACGAUUAGCUGGUUGGCGGGUAACGGCCCACCAAGGCUACGAUCGUUAGGGGUUCUGAGAGGAAGGUCCCCCACACUGGAACUGAGACACGGUCCAGACUCCUACGGGAGGCAGCAGUGAGGAAUAUUGGUCAAUGGUCGAGAGACUGAACCAGCCAAGUAGCGUGAAGGAUGACUG